GUGUAAAGAUACUGAGAUGAAGGUAUAGGUGGUUGUUAGAGAAUAACUUGCACUAAGUAUGACCAACAUGAGAAUCAUAUGGAUGUCUACUCAUUCGUCAAUGAUCUUCUCGAUGCUGCAGUGGUGUGAGUGGUUCUUUGACCUGUGGUAUCAUUGGCUAUUCAUAAUGAGGCUACUAAAUUUGAUUAUAUAUUUUCUUGAUCCUUAGUCAUUCGG
rnacentral:lncRNA from 1 species